GUUGCUUAACCUUGCUAGAUGAUAGGUUAAUUUCAACAAGGUUCUGUGGACGAAAAUUGCGAGGCAAAGAUGUCAAAGGGUAUCCAUCCCAAUGGAGAUACCUCAACUCUUCAGAAAGAGACUCGAGGCCAUGAGGAAGGUGCACUCUGCAUUUAACUCCAGCUUCAGAAUUAUAAAUUUUUAGCAGUCUAAGUCUAUACAUCCUUGCCAAGGCUGUAGAACUCAACUCAAUUUCUCUUAUUUUUGAAACAUCCAAGAAUAUCCCUUCAACUUUUCCAGUUCCCUGAAAACCAGUGAAGGUGAAACAAAGUUUAAGUAAGAUUUUAAACUUACUAGUACAACCAUAUUGCAUUGCAUAUGAAAAGGAAAACUUUCGUGUAUAUGAAUCUCACCAGAUUAUUGGUCAACACUUGAUAUACAUCUUUAGGACUCCACAAUCUGCUUUGUCUUCCUAGCUCGUCAAGAGAUUCUUUUCGAACAACUUCAUGGGCCAUUUCUUGCAAAAGAUCAUGCAUUUCAACCUUGUCAUCUGAAAUUUUAAUGAGACACCUGUCAAUGAGAACACUAAAUCCAAUAUCUGUUUUGAAACCGCAGCCAUCUAGUAUCCGCUUUACAAAAUCAACUCGAUGCCCUCUAAAGAAACAUGCAAUGUCGAGAAAUAUACUCUUCGUGUUAUUAUCACGUAGUGCAUCAAAGCCUAUUCUCAGCAAGUCAUAAAUAUUCAGCUCAGGAAAGCUUUCAAUCUCAUUUAAUUGAGAUUCCCAAAAAUGUCUCCCUUUGUCAAAUAAGAAGGAACCCAAAACUUGAAGAGCUAAUGGGUUCCCUUUGGCAUAAUUUAUUGCCGUGAUUGACAACUCCAUAUAAGCUUCUGGGGGUGGUUUCUCUUAAAAGCAUUCAAGCUAAAGAGUUGAAGAGCUUCGUGGAAGUUUAAUUCCUCAACCUCGUAUAUUUCAUCAACUACAUUCUUAAGUACUUGCCUGUCUCUUGAUGUCACAACAACAACGCUGCCUUCACCAAACGAACGCUCUUCAAUUAAAUGCUGGAAUUGUCGUACAUCAUUCACAUCAUCCAAAACAAGGAGAACUUUCUUUUGGCAGAGUCUAUCCCUAAUGAAAGUAGGUCCUAUAUGUGGUGUGCCAACGCGAAGAUUUUCUUCCUCCAGUAGUUUAGAAAGAAGUUCAUCUCGUAGAUCACUUAAUCGACCCUUUUCUGAUUCCUGCCUUAUGUUCGGAACAAAGUGGCAGCCUUCAUACUGACUUGAGAUGCUAUAGAAGAAAGCUUCCGCAAUAGUUGUCUUGCCUAUACCACCCAUGCCCCAAAUUCCUAUAAUGCGGACAUCUGAUGACACAAUGGAUAGUAAUUUGUUGAUUUUCUCAAUGCGUGAAUCUACUCCAACCAGACCUCUUAAUUUCCAUGGGGAAGCACGACUUAACCUGUUACAGAUAGUUUGCACAACUUCUCUUAUGAGUUUGGCCUCCGGUCUGUAAAAAAUGAAAGAAGCAUCUUUAACUCAAAUUGUAUCUUUACGUCGAAUAAAAAAUCUAUAAGAAACUGUUGAUGGAAGUUAGUUUUCCACUAAAAAACAGAACAGACUUGUGCCUUUCCAAGCAAAAAUGAUUUACAGGAGAGGAAAAAAAACUAUAAUAUGCACAAGAAAAUUUAAUUGCCAUAAAUAACUUUUAAUUGCUAUAAUUCCAGGAAAAAAAAGGUUGAAGAAGAGAAUCUAUAGUUACUAAUAUAUAGUUACCUAAUAACCUGUGAAUCCCAUCCAGAUAUACUGGCUGCGUAUGUCAAGUCAGCCCUCCACCUUGGUACCUUGUCCAUCUUCCCCUUAAAAUUUUUUUCAAGCUCAGCAAAUGCAUUUCCAAAACUCCCAGUCUGUUCAUCAACGUCAGAUGGGUCUACAUGAUAGAAGACCGGUAAAACAAUCUGCCCAUGAGUCUCUUUGCAUUCAAGUAUUUUCACCAGUUCAUCCAAACACCACGGAGAAGAUGCAUAGUUCUCGGAGAAAAUUACUACAGAAAUUCUUGAUUCUUCAAUCGUUUUCAGAAGGGCAGGGGUAAUUUCUUCUCCUCUUUCAAGCCCGUCAUCAAUGAAGGUCUUGAUUUUCUUACGACGCAUAGCUUCAUAGAGAUGGCUGGUAAAAUUAUUGCGCGUAUCCUUGCCUCUAAAACUAAGGAACACAUCAUACUUCCUUUUACGACCAACAGCAGAUGAAGAUGCCAUAUCAGACAGUUACAAGAUCGUGUCUUCCUCAAUCACUAAGAAUCGAAAUCAAUAAGUUCUCUCCUUUUUCUCCUAAAGACAUACAAAGAGCACCCACUUCAACAGCUGAACAUUCAUUAAGAGAAAUUGAAGUCUAAGAGUGCAACAACCCACACAGCAUAUAUUUUUUAGAAAAUUCCUCAACCUCUUAACGAUGGAUAUGAUCUAGCUUAAUUUGGUCACUCGUCACUUGCUACCAAUGCUAGCUUGCUAGUACUUUCUUUGCAAGGACAGUCACUAGCUGAGCAAAAAGAAUUACAGACGGAAGAAUUACUAUGUUCAUGAAACAAACGUAUCAAACUCAUAUAGUGUUAAUGUUGCUGUCAUGUAACAAUUAAUAUAGUUGCUGAAAAGAAGGAAAAAAAAGAGAGAGCAUGGAUUCAGUAGCAACAAUGGCAAAGGUUACUUCUCUAUGGAGUUUAUGAGGUAACUUUAAUGAUCAAAUUGCAGCAAUCGGAAAGGUUAGCUGAUGAGUAAAGUACUGAGGACUGAAGCUUAGCAGAGUACAGGGUGUAACGUUGUUUUUCAAAUAAUUUUUUAUGCUGAAAUAUAUGUUAAUGAUUUUUUUUAUUUUAUAAAAAUUAUUUUUAACAUCACCUCAUCAAAACGAUCUAAAAAAUAUAAACUAUAUUAAAUUUUAAUAAAAAAAAAAACUUUUAAAUUUUAUAAAAACACAAGUUGAACCGCAUUUUCAAACACUGCUGUAGCGAUGUUAUAUUUGUCAAAGUUAAAAGUUUAGCAGGGUAUUCAGUGGUAAUUUCGCGGUAAUUUCCUUAGCCGCAUCAGAAUCAAAUGGCAUGAUUUUCCACUCACAUUGGCUGGCCCUCACACUCCCUCCAUCUCUCAGGGGACCUUGCUUCCUUUUUAAAAAUAAAAAGUAAAAAGUAAAGGGAUGAUAUGUUGCAGAUCUUCUUCUGUUCUGUUCUGUUCUGUUCUUUUCUUUUCUUUAAUAUAAUGGACUAUGUGUAAUCCACUAGAAUAAUGGAUGGGCGAUAAAAGGCAGAAAUUAUGGUGGAGACUUUUCUUAUUGGAUGGAAAGAAAAGUUAAGUACCUCGCAGCUUAGAAAGAUACUACUGGAUUAUCAAUACGUGGACAGUUCGGUGACAUUGUAGCCAUUAGAAUGUGUAGCAAUACCCAUCCAUGCUUUGAUUAUUGUUUAAUAAUAUAUUAAUUAUCUUCGCACGGCAGGUUAUAUGGUGUUUUUAUUUUUUAAAGAAAACAAAUCUAAAAUGUUGAGAUGUAAUAUCAUCUACUAUUAAAAAUAUCAUUUAUGUCUACAUUUGUAUUUGUGAGAUGCAAAUAUCAUUUACUAUUAAAAAAAUACUAUACUCAAUCUUGAUUAAAGGAUUGAUGUGUAAAAAUUUCAUUUACUAUUAAAAAAUUAUAGUAUCAUUUGUAUUUGUGAGAUGCAAAUAUCAUUUUUUUUUAUUAUUAUUAUUAAGUGAGAUUUCACUUUUUCUGUAUAGUUUCAGAAACGAUUCUUUACAUGUCAAGAUAUUAUUGUUGAUAUUGUUUAUAACUUUUACAUAAUAAGUUGAGCGCGUGAAAACUCAAUCAACAAAAAUUAUAAAAUUAUUACAUGAUUGUUAUUAUAAUUAAAUUAAUGUUUAAAAAACUUUAACGGUUGAAAUAUUACAACUUACAAAUGAAACCAUUUUUUUUUUAUUUCUACUUAGAGUUAAUGCACUGUUUCAAUCAUAGUUAUUCAAUCUAAACCAACCUGACGAGUCAAUCUAAUAAUUAAAACAAUCUAAGUAAGACAAAAAAUUAGAAUGAAUAAAAACUCAAUUGACCUGUGGUUUGGGUGACCUCACAAAACACGAUUGAGAUUUUUUUUUUCUUAAAUGGUAUUAAUUUGUUCUUGAAAUCUCACAAUUUUAUUAACAUACUUUUUAGGAGUCAACAAGCAUUAUUUUUAAUAGAGUAACGGGCAAGAUUGAUGUGUGUGUGUAUACACACACAUAUAUAUCUCUCCAUCCAUAUAUUGCAAAUAAAUUAAAAAAUUUAUGAGGACAAAAAAUGACUUGUAUUUAGUUGUAUUUCCACCAUGCCCUUCAUUUUUUUAAAAAAAAGAGUGGUAUACAUGUAAUAAAAAUUAAUAAUUUAUAUUCAAAUAGAUUUUUUUUUAAUUUUUUUAUAUGAAAUAUUAAAACUUUAAUUAAAAAAAAUGAGUUAAUUUGGGUUGAUCAACCUAUAUAACCUGAGACCAGACUCCUUGGCAAGGUCAACCCCCGGGUCGGAUAACUAUUGUUUCAACCCGCGAGAGAAGUCAUUUGCAUCUCCUCUAAAAACGAGAUUAAAAGAUCUAAAACCCUAUGGAAAAACACUUUAUCUCCGGACCCAUGAGUAUUAUUCAUUGGAAUACUACAAAGAUGAUUUUCACCCUCUACCAGAAAAAUUUAGCAAUGGCUUCCAAAAGAUUUGAAGUUUUUCUGCAUCACCCCUUUGUUAUAUUUUAAAUUUAUUAGGGAAAAAAAAUUUUGUUCUCAUAUUAAUUGCACAGUAAAAUAACUAAAAUAUCAUUAAAAGUAAAAAAAUCUAAACCUGACGCAAAAGAGGUAUUUUCAUAUUUUUAAAAUGGAUUUUUUCUUUAUUAUAAUUUAAGCUAAGAGGCAAUUUAUCAUCUGAUCAAAUAUAAAAGAUAAUAAACAAUUAAAAUACAUGGUAAAAUAAAUAAAAUACCUUUAAAUAAAAACAUUUAAUCACGAAGACAAGGGGUGUUCUAGUUUUAACUAUCGUAGCAACAACAAUAAUAAUAUAUUAAAGUUUUCUACUGUAAAACCCAAGUGUCAUUAAUUAUGACUUCUCUUUUGUUCAUCUAAUUCUCCGGGGAAAAACAUAGCCAAAAUAAUCAUCACGUCUCAUGCCUUGUAACCUUUCUCUCUUGACUUGGAACAUUGCUUUCAGUUCAUCUCGAUCCUGAGGAUGAAAACAAGAGUCGUCUUGCAUGCUGAAAUCAAAGUGAUGCAUCUCAUUGGCAUGCAGUAGAUGGACCCCACACUCAAUCACUUGACAAAAAUCUAAUAGUAAUAGAGUGCCGUUCAUAUCUUCCGGCUGGAAUUCAACUGAUACCUCGCUGUAUUUACUAAACGUAUCCUUUUCUUUAGCAACCAAACAGGGAUCCAAUCCCACGAAUAUAUGUGGUGCGUCGUCGCCCUUGUCAUCAAACCAACCAUUGAGAUAGCAAUAGAGAUCACGACUAUCACCGUCAUUAUUGCGGAAGUGAUAUGUGCAUUUAACUUGCAACUCAGAGUUGAAAUGAUAAGAUGCAAUGACAGCGCAAAGAGAGAAACCCAAGAACUCGCUAUUAGCCCACUGUGAAGAUAACUGGAAUGUUACUGUAGAUCCCCACCUUUGAUGGCUAAACCACUCCGGAGUUACAUCUCCAGGGAGGUAGAAACUAGGUGGCCUAGGGCAGAAACUAGAUGGCCUAGCUGGAACAUCGGGCAGCUGUUAUCACAAUUCAAAUAGCAUCUUUUUAAAAUGAGACGAAGGAAAUAGAAAAGUAUAUCAGAGGUUUAAGAAACAAACCUGAAGGUCCGCCAAGAAUUUAUAGGUCCUACGCAUGAUAGAAUAAUCCUCCCGUCUAUUGACUUCGAGCCUUGCUCUCUUGGCUUGGAACAUUGCUUCCAAUCCAUCUUGAUCCUGAGGAUAAAAAUAAUAGUAUCUCUGCAUGAUGAUAUGAAAGCGAUCUAUGUCAUUGGCAUGCAGUAGGCGGACCCCACACUCAAUCACUUGACAAAGAUCUAAUGGUAAGAGAUUGCCGUUCUUAUCUUCCAGUUGGAAUUCAACUGAGACCUCGCUGUAUUUAAUAAACGUAUCCUUUUUUUUUGCAACCAAACAAGGAUCCAAUCCCACAAAUAUGUGUGUUGGGUCGUUGGCCUUGUCAUUAAACCGACCAUCGAGAUAGCAAUCGAGGUCACGGCUAUCACCAUGCUUAUUGCGGAAGUGAUAUAUGCAUUUAACAUGCAAACUAUGGCCAACAGAACGAAAUACAAUGACAGCACAAAGAGAGAAACCCAAGAACUCGCUAUUUGCCCAAUUUGAAGAUAGCUGGAACGUUACUGUAGAUCCCCAACUUUGAUGGCUAAACCACUCCGGAGUCGCAUCUCCAGGGAGGCAAAAACUAGAUGGCUUGGCUACAAAAGGCAACUGUUACACAAUUCAAAUAGCAUCUUUUUAAAAUGAGAUGAAAAAAAGAAAAAAUUAUAUCAAAGGUUUAAGAAACAGACCUGAAGGUUUGCCAAGAAUUUAUAGGUCCUACGCAUGACAGAAUAAUCCUCCCAUCUUAAACAGACCUGAAGGCUCGCCAAGAAUUUAUAGGUCCUACGCAUGACAGAAUAAUCCUCCCAUCUAUCUGCUUGGAACCUUGCUCUCUUGGCUUGGAACCUUACUUCCAAUUCAUCUCGAUCUAGAGGAUAAAAACGAGAGGAGUCUGACAUUAUCAAAUGAAAGCGUUGUAUCUUAUCUUCAUCAUUGGCAUGCAGUAGACGGAGCCCAAAUGCCCCACCGUCAUACAGUAGAUGGACCCCACACUCAACCACGUGACAACUACGAAAUAAAUUGUUUUCCAGGUGGAAUUCAACUGAGACCUCGUUAUAUUCACUAAACGUGUCCUUUUCUUUGGCAGCUACACAGGGAUCAAAUCCCAUGAAUAUGUUCAUGUGCUUCUGAUCAUAACAACCAUGGAGAUAGCAAUCAAGGUCACGACUAUCACCAUGCUUAUUGCGGAAGUGAUAUGUGCAUUUAACAUGCAAACGAGGGGCAUAACCAACUACAAUGACUGCGCAAAGAGAGAAACCCAAGAACUCGCUAUUAGCCCAAUUUGAAGAUAACUGGAAUGUUACUGUAGAUCCCCAACUUUGAUGGCUAAACCACUCCGGAAUCACAUCUCCAGGGAGGCAGAAACUAGAUGGCUUGGCUACAACAUCAGGCAGCUGUUACACAAUUCAAAUAGCAUCUUUUUAAAAUAAGAUGAAGAAAAGAAAAAAUUAUAUCGAAGGUUUAAAGAAACAGACCUGAAGGUCCGCCAAGAAUUCAUAGGUCCUACGCAUGACAAAAUAAUCCUCCCAUCUCAUGCCUUGGAACCUUGCUCUCUUGGCUUGGAACAUUGUUUUCAAUUCAUCACCAUUCACAGGAUAAAAACAAAAAUAGCCUGACGUGAUCAAAUCAAAGCGAUGUAUCCCAUCUUCAUACAGUAGACGGACCCCACACUCGUGUACUUGACAAAGAUCUAAUGGUAAGAGAUUUCCGUUCAUAAAUUCCGGUUGGAACUCAACAGAGACCUCACUGUAUUCACUAAACAUAUAAUCUUCUUUAGCAACCACACAGGGAUCAAACCCCACCAAUAUAUGUGCUGAGUCGAUGCGCUUGUCAUCAUACCAACCAUGGAGAUAGCAAUCGAGGUCACGACUAUCACCAUGCUUAUUACGGAAGUGAUAUGUGCAUUUAACUUGCAAACUAUGGCCGACAGAACCAAAUGCAAUGACAGCGCAAAGAGAGAAACCCAAGAACUGGCUAUUAGCCCAAUGUGAAGAUAGCUGGAAUGUUACUGUAGAUCCCCAACUUUGAUGGCUAAACCACUCCGGAGUCACAUCUGCAGGGAGGCAGAAACUACAUGCCCCUUCUGGAACAUCAGGCAGCUGUAAACACAACUCAAAUAGCAUCUUUUUUAAAUGAAAGGUGGCAAAUAAAGAAAAAAAGAUGUAUAUCAGAGGUUUGAGAAACAAACCUGAUGGUAUAACCUUUUGGUGUAAAGUUGAAAUUUCAAUAAUGAGUAAGCCAAGAUUUGAUUGAACCAACGCGAUCUCGAGCAAUUAGUGAAAAUGAAUUCAAAAAUGUUCCCCUCAACUGCAGUUGAUGAGCUGUGGUGGAAGCCCUGGUAAUGAUUCAAACUCUCGCAAUUGUCUGCAUCCAACUUUGAUAGCCGUGGUGGAAGCUCCGGUAAUGAUUCAAGGCUCUUGCAAUUCCUUAAUCCUAGAUAUUGCAACUCCAAGAGUUUAUUGAUGCUUAUAGGUAUAGUCUUAAAUUUGUUUCCACUUAGAUCUAACACUUCCAGUGACGAUAAAAGACCAAGACUGUCCGGCACUUCCAUAGACUGCAACCAUCUAGAUUUAGCUUACGCAAACAAUCUAAAUCCACGCAUCUCUGGCAAUUGCAAGUCAAAAACAUUCGAUGUUUUAGAUAUUUGCAGUUUCCCACUUCCAAGCAGGCAAGUCCCUUCAGAUUUCAAUCGGUGAAGGCAACUUUGUUAUGCGUGUCUCUUCUAGAUAGAGAUAUCUCAAACAUUCCAUCGGCUCCAAAACUUCUGGAAAAUCCCUAAAUUGGAGGCAACCUGAGAGAUUAAGCCUCUGCAGUUUUCUCAACUUGCAAAUGCUGCUUGGAAGAAUCUCAAAUUGUUUGCAGUUUCGCAGGUGCAAUUCAGCAAGUUCAAACAACCAUUCUAUUGAAGAGGGAAUCUCUCGUAUUGCUGUCCCAUUUAAAUACAGCUCCUUUAUAUUAUUUGAAACCUUUGGAAACUCCGUGAUACUUGAGCAACCAGAAAGAUCAAGUUUUUCAAGACAUACCAACUUAGAAACCGCACUCGGCAGAUUCUUCAUCCUUUUGCAGCCAACUAGAUCUAAGCAAAUGAGUUUACUUAGAUCACCAAUUGAAGAUGGCAGUUCUUCUAUUGCAGUUCCAUUCAAGUACAAGUAUCUAAUAUUCUCCGAAAAGACAGGAACCCUGCUGAUAGAUGAGCAGCCAGAGAUGUCGACGAUUCGAAGAGAUGUCAACAAAUUUAUAUUUUCUGGAAGAUUCACCAGGAGGUUGCAGUUCUUCAAAUUCAACGCAACAAGUCCACCGAGUUCCACAAUUGAUUGGGGAAGCUCGUCAACAGCAGUCUCAUUUAAAUUUAAAUAUGUCAGUUUCCUUGCAGUCUCGGGGCACUUCUUGAGAUUUGCGCAACCAGAAAGGUUCAGAGUCUCCAGACAACUUGAAUUAAUUCUACUGGGAAGAUUGAUUAGUCUUUUGCAGCCUCUCAAAUUUAAAUCAACAAGCUUGUCCAGAUGCUGUAUAGAUGAAGGAAACUUAACCAAACUUUUACAGAAUUGAAGAUUCAAUCUCUCAAGGUUUCUGGCCUUUGAAAGGUCUGGCAGGAAAGUUAUGUGCUCACAAUUGCUGAGGUUGACAUCUUUUAAAUUGACGAGAUUCUGAAGCAAAAUGAAAUCAACAGAAAGAAAUGACACUUACUUUCAAAGAAAGAACUGUGCAUGCAUAGAGUUAUUUUAGAAUACCUGGCCUUCUCUCCACAGUUGCUCAACCUUGCUAGAUGAUAGGUUAAGUUCAACAAGGUUCUGUGGACGAAAAUUGCAAGGCAAAGAUGUCAAAGGGUAGCCAUCCCAAUGGAGAUACCUCAACUCUUCAGAAAGAGACGCGAGGCCAUGAGGAAGGUGCACUCUGCAUUUAGCUCCAGCUUCAGAAUUAUAAAUUUUUAGCAGUCUAAGUUUAUACAUCCUUUCCAAGGCUGUAGAACUCAACUCAAUUUCUCUUAUUUUUGAAACAUCCAAGAAUAUCCCUUC
rnacentral:lncRNA from 1 species